AUGAACGCUGGCGGCGUGCCUAAUACCUGCAAGUCGAGCGAACAGACGAGGAGCUUGCUCCUCUGACGUUAGCGGCGGACGGGUGAGUAACACGUGGAUAACCUACCUAUAAGACUGGGAUAACUUCGGGAAACCGGAGCUAAUACCGGAUAAUAUAUUGAACCGCAUGGUUCAAUAGUGAAAGACGGUUUUGCUGUCACUUAUAGAUGGAUCCGCGCCGCAUUAGCUAGUUGGUAAGGUAACGGCUUACCAAGGCAACGAUGCGUAGCCGACCUGAGAGGGUGAUCGGCCACACUGGAACUGAGACACGGUCCAGACUCCUACGGGAGGCAGCAGUAGGGAAUCUUCCGCAAUGGGCGAAAGCCUGACGGAGCAACGCCGCGUGAGUGAUGAAGGUCUUUGGAUCGUAAAACUCUGUUAUUAGGGAAGAACAAAUGUGUAAGUAACUAUGCACGUCUUGACGGUACCUAAUCAGAAAGCCACGGCUAACUACGUG
rnacentral:rRNA from 1 species